GCUUAUGCGUUGUUGGGUAGGGGAGCGUUCUGUAAGCCGUUGAAGGUGGCCUGUGAGGGUUGCUGGAGGUAUCAGAAGUGCGAAUGCUGACAUAAGUAACGAUAAAGCGGGUGAAAAGCCCGCUCGCCGGAAGACCAAGGGUUCCUGUCCAACGUUAAUCGGGGCAGGGUGAGUCGACCCCUAAGGCGAGGCCGAAAGGCGUAGUCGAUGGGAAACGGGUUAAUAUUCCCGUACUUGGUGUUACUGCGAAGGGGGGACGGAGAAGGCUAUGUUGGCCGGGCGACGGUUGUCCCGGUUUAAGCGUGUAGGUGUGUGUUCCAGGUAAAUCCGGUU
rnacentral:rRNA from 1 species